rnacentral:rRNA from 2 species
ACCAGUAAGUUGAGCUAUAUCGGUAAAAAGACAGUUAGAUUAUAUAAAGGUGAAAAAUCUGUGACAUCUUUAAGGGAAACUGGGAUUUGAUACCCCACUAUUAGAUAUAAAUUUACCAGAGUACUACGAAUUUAAAACUCAAAGAGCUUGGCGGUGUUUUAGACCGGUUAGGGGAACCUGUUUCAUAAUCGAUAUUCCACGUUGGACCUUACCUUUUUUCAGUUUGUAUACCGUUGUCAUCAGGUAACUUUUAAGAAAAGUUAGCUAUAUAUGUUUAGAUGUCAAAUCAAGGUGCAACCAAAGAAAAGGAGAGAAUGGGUUACAAUUAUUGAAGGAGGACUUAAAAGUAAUUUAUAAAAAUUAAUUGAACUGGCUCUGAAAUGUG